rnacentral:rRNA from 1 species
GACGAACCGUGCGAAUGUUGUUCGGAAUCACUGGGCUUAAAGGGCGCGUAGGCGGGUUCGCAAGUCUGUGGUGAAAGCCUCCAGCUUAACUGGAGAAGUGCCAUGGAUACUGCGCAUCUUGAGGAGGGUAGGGGCGUCUGGAACGGUCGGUGGAGCGGUGAAAUGCGUUGAUAUCGACCGGAACUCCGGUGGCGAAGGCGAGGCGCUGGACCCUUUCUGACGCUGAGGCGCGAAAGCCAGGGGAGCAAACGGG